UCUCUUUCAUUAUUUCUGCUUCCUACUGCCUGUUGCCAGGCAUUGUGUUUAAGCCCUUAUGUUCUUCCAUCAUGCUUUAUACCAUGCAUAAUAUAUGUUUUUAGUGGUUCGACCGGUUCAACGUUAAUCGACAUGUUAAAAUCUGUAUGGAUUUUUUUUAUUAUUUUUCAAGUUUGCCUUGUUAGAAAUACAGUUGGUUCGAUAGGUGACAAGUCACAAAUAUACAAUCAAUGUCUCGCACUGUGUCGCAGUAGCAACUGCAAAAAUGAAACAGAUUUUAAGGAACAACCUUCUUUAUCGUUAAUCUUGCUACACUGGUCUUGUAAGGAAGAUUGCAGUUAUAUUUGCACAUGGAGAACUGUUGAUUACUUUGUAUCUCACGGUUUGAAGAUACCACAGUUUCAUGGAAAAUGGCCGUUUAUUCGUUUGUUUGGAUGUCAGGAGCCUGCUUCAGUUCUAUUCUCUAUAUUAAAUUUUUAUAUGCAUUGGAUAAUGUAUCAGAAAUUUAAGAGAAGAGUAGAUCGAGCAAAUCCCAUGUUUCAUGCUUGGACAUAUUUUAGUAUUAUAUGCUUAAACGGAUGGUUUUGGUCAACUGUAUUUCACUCGCGGGACUGGCCAUUUACAGAAGCUAUGGACUAUUCUUGUGCAUUCAGUAUGGUACUUACACUGUUAUAUUGUAUGCUUUUAAGGAUAACGAAUCUAAGAACUAAAGCAUUUUUUGUAAUAACUUGUGGAUAUGUGAGCAUUUUAUGUACACAUUUGUCACAUUUAUGGUCAGGCAGAAUUAAUUAUGGUUAUAAUAUGAUGCUUAAUGUAACUAUAGGACUAACAACUGUUGCGACAACAAUGCUAUGGUGGUAUUUUAACCACAACAAGUUACCAUAUAUGUACUUAAUUGCUUGGUUCAAUAUAUUGACUAUUCUCAUGUCUCUACUAGAGUUGGUAGACUUUCCUCCUAUUUUUUGGAUAUUUGAUGCUCAUUCCUUGUGGCAUGCCAGUACAGUUCCUUUAACGAUAUUAUUAUAUAGGUAUUACGCAGCUAUAAAUUAUUAAGCACAGAUGUGCAAUUCUCUGUUUAUGAUUACAGAUUGCUGUUAUCUGAAAAGAUAUUAUGAUAGAUCAUUUUUUAAUAUUGAUCACCACUGGCAGUAAUUUAUUUUACAUAAUGCUAAUCUGUAUAGGCCUUCAUAAAUCUUCAAGGGCAGUAACAAACAUUGGCAGGGAGAUCAUAAUGUUGUUAAUCUUUGCAGAAAAUAUGAUUAUCAUCUCUGUGCUUCUCAAGAUUUCCAGAUAGGGUCGGAUCUGGCCGCCGCCUUUUAAAGAAGCCGAGUUUUCUCAGUAUUAAUGUAAGUAGAAUGAAUAACAACAUUCCAGCCACUGCGGCUACUACAUAUAUCCAAACUGGUACAGGCUCAGCUUCUUGUUGAUCUAAUAGAUCUGGAUAAGCAAUUGUCUCGGCCUAUGUAACAAUGUGAAAUAACUGUUAAAUAAUUUUUAUCGUUAUGUUUUUAACAUUUUUUACAUAUUUUUUCAUAUUAUAUCCAAGAAAAAUCCAAUAUUUGAAUUUUCUUAUCAGUUAUUAAUAUCUCAAAAUAUUGUAUAUAGAGAAAAAUAUACUUACGGUUGCGUAAUCGUCUUUCAAGUU